rnacentral:rRNA from 1 species
GAUGAACGCUGACAGAAUGCUUAACACAUGCAAGUCGACUUGAACUUCGGUUUGGGUGGCGGACGGGUGAGUGACGCGUACAGAACUUGCCUCACAGAUAGGGACAACAUUUGGAAACGAAUGCUAAUACCUGAUAUUAUGAUUAUAUGGCAUCGUAUAAUUAUGAAAGCUAUAUGCGCUGUGAGAGAGCUUUGCGUCCCAUUAGCUAGUUGGAGAGGUAACGGCUCACCAAGGCGAUGAUGGGUAGCCGGCCUGAGAGGGUGAUCGGCCACAAGGGGACUGAGACACGGCCCGUACUCCUACGGGAGGCAGCAGUGGGGAAUAUUGGACAAUGGACCAAGAGUCUGAUCCAGCAAUUCGGUGUGCACGAUGAAGUUUUUCGGAAUGUAAAGUGCUUUCAGUUGGGAAGAAAAAAAUGACGGUACCAACAGAAGAAGUGACGGCUAAAUACGUG